rnacentral:rRNA from 1 species
UGCCGGUGUUUUACUCAAGUGUGAACCACCUCUUCCCAUUCCGAACAGAGAAGUGAAAGCAUUUGAGCCCGAUGAUAGUCCUUAGGGGCGAAAGUAGGGUAUGCCGGCAU